rnacentral:sRNA from 1 species
GAGGAUGUGGACCUAGUGGCUAGACCCAAGGACCAAAGCAAGAAGUCGUGGGGGGCCCAGGAAGACAGGAGGAUCACAUUGGGAUUCCAGACAUAAGAUCAGGUUUUAACCCCCUUUGGCCAAAUUUUGGCUGAAAAUGUUGAAUUAUCAACUCUGAAAUUAAAAAGAAAGUUUAUAUUAAAACACUGCAAUUUUCCUUAGAAUUUCUGUAUAUAUUAACAUCGUGCAUGAUAAAUUCUCUUCAAUGUGCAUGUCAGGUUUAUGUACUUGUAUAUCAAAUCUAUCUGUGUGUAUGAAGUGUAUGUUUAUUGAAAUACAAGACAUUUAAGAAGCUGAUCUGGAAAGUUGGAUUUUAAUUCUAGUUCCUAAUUCCCAGAGGCUUUUUUAAAGGAAGGGAAUGUCUGUGGUACACCAGUUGUCAGCUGGGUGGUUACUGGAUCAUCUUUCUUUUGUCAACAAGAUAAACUAUCAACUUCACCAGCAUCAUGAACCUUGUUGCAGUAAAAAGGAGUUCACUACUUCUGUUCACUUUGAGUCUCUUCAAAUGGAUUCUGUGUCCUCCUCUGGAGCCUGUGCUGCAUUUAUUGCUUCUGACUCUUCCACUAAGCCAGAGAAUGAUGAUGGAGGAAAUUAUGAAAUGUUCACACAAAAAUUUGUUUUUCGACCUGAACUGUUUGAUGUCACCAAACCUUAUAUAACUCCAGCUGUUCAUAAAGAAUGCCAGCAAAGUAAUGAAAAGGAAGAUCUGAUGAAUGGUGUUGAAAAAGAAAUCUCCAUUUCUAUUAUUGGGAAGAAGCGUAAAAGAUGUGUUGUUUUCAAUCAAGGUGAAUUGGAUGCUAUGGAAUACCAUACAAAGAUCAGGGAGCUGAUUUUGGAUGGAUCUUUACAAUUAAUCCAGGAAGGUCUCAAAAGUGGUUUUCUUUAUCCACUUUUUGAAAAACAGGACAAGGGUAGUAAGCCCAUUACUUUACCACUUGACACCUGCAAUUUGUCAGAAUUAUGUGAAAUGGCAAAGCAUUUGCCUUCUCUGAAUGAAAUGGAACAUCAGACAUUACAGUUGGUGGAAGAGGAUACAUCUGUUACAGAACAGGAUUUAUUUUUGCGAGUUGUUGAAAACAACUCUAGCUUUACAAAAGUGAUUACUUUGAUGGGACAGAAAUACCUGCUACCACCGAAAAGCAGUUUUCUUUUAUCUGACAUUUCUUGUAUGCAACCACUUCUAAACUGUAAGUAAUUAUUGUGUUUGUUAUUAGAAAAAGAUAAUUUUUCUGUGGGCUGAAAAGUUAAGAGCUAGUCUGAAAUUUGAAGAUGGGUCAGCAUUUAUGAGGAUAGGGUAAACACUUUUCCUCGGGUUAUUUGUCUCUUAGGUUUAAUUUUAAGGUGCUGGCUUUUGCUUUUUUUAAAAAAAUAAAUAUUAUGAAUAGAGUCAAAAGCUAAUUUCUAAGAGAACAAAAUAUAGUUACUUCUCUGUACUUAGGAAUUCAGUAUGCAGUUGUGUUUAACCAAAUCAGUUUUUUUUUAACUUUUCUUCAUAGCAAAGUAGAAACACUUCAGUUAUGAAUAUCAAUUCCCAAAUCAUUCCUAGCCUUGUAUAAAGGAUACCUUUUAAGCUAGUGUUCAAGCUCAUUGUCUAAAAUUUCUUGAAACAUUUUCCUGUACAAAGUUAAAAAAUUUAAAUAUUGAAGUCCGCAGUCACACAGACCUGUAUUUGACUUUAGAUUCUGAAGCUUAUUUAACUGUGAGUCUUUGGGGUAUUCAUUUCACAAAACUGAGCCCCAGUCUCCAGUCUAUAAAAUGGACAUGAUAAUACCUGCUGCUUAGGGUCAUUUUGAGGUAUAUUGAUCAGAUUGAAUUUAAUGUGCUGUUUAUUGUUAUUUGGACAUUUUAUAGCAAAAUUUUAUGUUAUUGAGCAACUACAACACAACUUACUAAUGAAAAGCUUCUUUUAAUUGCUAUCAAGCCAUCUUACACUUGAGUGGUUAUCCAUGUAGCAAUGCCAUAAAUUCUUCAGAGUAAAUGACAGGAUAACAAAUUAAUGAGAAAACCAUGCUAUGCAUGAACAUUUUUUCUCUUCUUUUUGAUCUUUGUUACUCUAAUAGCUUAAAAAGUGUCACUUUUUUAUUUUAAUUUGCAUUCUUUUGAUUACUUAUGAGAUUGUCCACAUUGACAAAAAUAUACCUAUGUUUAUAAAAGGAGGAGAAAGGACAGCUCUUCCUUACCGUAAAAUUCCAGUUAAUAAAUGAAUGGAAUGAUGGAUCUAGAGAAUUUCCAUUUGACAAACACCAUAAUAAUUGGAUGUCAAAAUAGUGGAUGAAAAGAUGAGACAGAAUAUUUUCAUGGUCUUAAAGUAUCUCCUCCCAAGAUACUCGUUAAUUACAAGGGAAAAACUGGUGAAACUCAGCAGACGACACCUUAACCAAAGACUUUUUAACAUCCUUUAUCUCCUGAUAUGUUGCACUGGUAGGGCAUGGCAGGCAUUACUUUGGUGGUCCUCUUGCAAAAAAUAAGUAAUCUAAAUUUACUCAUGAGAAAAUACUAGACCCAGAUUGAGGGACAUCCUAUAAAAUAAUUGGUAGCCUUUAAAAGUUUCAAAAUCAUGAAAGACGAAGAAAGACCAAGGAACUUUUCCAGGUUGGAGGAGAGUUAGGAGGGAUGGCAGCUAAAUGCAAUGUUUGAUCCUGGCUUUGAUCCUGGGUCAGAAAAAGUACAUUAGUAAAUAAUUGGGGAAGUUUUAUUAUGGCCAAUAAGUCAGUUGUAAAGGCUGAAAUUAUUUUAAAAUAAAAAGUAAAAAAAAUGACCUAGAUUUCUUAGAACUAUAUUAAUAUGGCUGCCAAGACGCAUAGGGAAUUCACAGAUCAUUAGUGUUCAGCUUACUGAGCUAUAGUCAUCUGCAGAUAGUCUCUGCAAAAAUUGCAAUAGGUAACAUUAUGAUACAAUUCUAGAGGUAAGGGAAACAUCUAAUAUUUAAUGAUAAAUUACUCUGUUUGAAUAAAUGCUAUAUACAGAUCCUUUUGGUGCAUUCCAUUAUAUUCAUGUCCAUAGUGAAAUCACUUGAGUUUUGAAGAACAUGUUUAGUUUUUAAAGUGAUCACAUAGAGAAGGUAUUUUCUGAAAUUGUAUCUUUGUUUUCAGAUAGGAAAACAUUUGAUGUAAUUGUGAUAGAUCCACCAUGGCAGAACAAAUCAGUUAAAAGAAGUAAUAGGUACAGUUAUUUGUCACCCCUGCAAAUAAAGCAAAUACCUAUCCCUAAACUGGCUGCUCCAAACUGUCUUCUUGUUACUUGGGUGACCAAUAGACAGAAGCACCUACGUUUUAUAAAGGAAGAACUUUAUCCCUCUUGGUCUGUGGAGGUAGUUGCUGAGUGGCACUGGGUAAAAAUAACCAAUUCAGGAGAGUUUGUGUUCCCAUUAGAUUCUCCACACAAAAAGCCCUAUGAAGGUCUUAUACUGGGGAGAGUUCAAGAAAAAACUGCUCUACCAUUGAGGAAUGCAGAUGUAAACGUGCUCCCCAUUCCAGACCACAAAUUAAUUGUCAGCGUGCCCUGUACUCUUCACUCACAUAAGCCACCGCUUGCUGAGGUUUUAAAAGACUACAUCAAGCCAGAUGGGGAAUAUUUGGAGUUGUUUGCUCGAAAUUUACAGCCAGGUUGGACUAGUUGGGGCAAUGAAGUUCUCAAAUUUCAGCAUGUGGAUUAUUUUAUUGCUCUGGAGUCUGGAAGCUGACUAUGAUCUUGAUUAAAGUAGUGGUUUCUUCAUUGUUUCCUCACCACUUUUCCCUUCAUUCGAACUCAUUUUUUUAUUUUGUUACCAACCCGUAUUCUUAGAAUAUAAACAGGACUUGUUUUUUUCAGUAAGGGACCAGAAGUGACUAGCCUUCAUGUAAUUUUAAGAUGAAUUUUACUUGAGUUGCACUAACAUUCUAUGUUAUUCUAGACUAUACAAAUUAAGUGGUAAGCGGUUAUAAAAAUGGCAGGACCAUGCUAUUGAAAAAGUUCAGAAAACAUACACCGUGGACCAGAGGUCUUAAUCCUGUCUAUGGAUGUGUUUUGUGUGACCCAUACAGUGUUGUAAAAAACAUUUAGAACCAUUAUUCUAAAAAAUGGGGAUAUUUCACAUUAAAGUCCAGAUUUCUGCUUCUUUUUAAACAUCAGAGGCUCUGGCUACACAGAGGCCUCUGUUCUUUCCUGGCAUCAGUCUGCAGGACCUAGCGGUGGUGGCUCACUUGGGAAGAGCCUUGUGCUCUCCACUUUGCCACAGUACCACUGCCGCCAUGCUGCUUACUUAUGUCAUCCAUUUGGCCCUUGUAUGACCUGAAUUUGCAACCUCUGGUAUACUAUUAUGUUCUGGAAAAAAUAUUCAAAGAUCUGCCAAGUACUGCAUUAGUAUACUGAGUUUAUACAGCAUUUUUGUAGGGUUUUAAAUUGCAUUCAAGGUCACUUUCCAAGCACUUUUUGGUUUUGCUUGUUUUUCUAGAAGAAAAUGAAAAGCUAUUCCUUAUAAUAAACAUGGCAGCAAGUAAACAGUGUGAUUGUGAAAAAAAUAUUAUUUAUAGAUUUUCUACAAAUAAAUAUUUGUCUACCAAGUAAAAUAUUUUGACUGAAAUGAUUCUUUGAAAUGCAUGUUGAUUUAUUAUGUAUUAACUUUUUAAAAAUUGAGGUAUAAUUUUCACAAAAUUCUCCAAUUUUCAGUGUCAAAUUCAGUGAAUUUUGAAAACGUAUAUACAGUUGUCUGUCUGCCACAGUGAUCAUGAUACAGAACACUUUCUUUACCCUGAAAACGUCUCAUUUUUCCUUUUGCAGUCAAUCCCCUGCUCCUAUCCUUGGCCCCUGGCAAACACUGGUUUGCUUUCUAUCAUUAGUUCUGCUGUUUGAGAAUUUCAUAUAAAUGGAAUCAUGCAAUGUGUAAUCUAUUGUGCCUGGCUUCUUUCACUUAGCAUUUUGAGAAAAGCAUUUAUACUAUUUACAGGUUGUUGACAAAUAUUUAUCCUCUAAGUAAAAUGUUAGACUGAAAUGAUUCUUUGACAAGCUUGCCAAUUUACUGAUUUUGUCAAAGAAAAAUAUGUUAUUUUUGAAGUUUGUUCAUCCUUUGAGUGUGUGAGUAUAGUAUCAGAGGCUUAAUUUUGUGUUUAUGGAGCUGUUCUAACUUGUUAUUUAAAAGGAAAAAGGUAUUAAACUUGAAGCAAACUUCUCAUGA